rnacentral:lncRNA from 13 species
CUCAGUAUAGAGUCACCUCCUUAGACCGUCUUUGACCAUCCUAUCAAAAGUAAGGUUCCCAGUCUGUUACAUUCUCCGUUUCAGUCUUUGUUUAUGUGCUUCAUGAAAGUUAAAGUGUAAACAAGGAGAGUCUGGGCAUGGUGGCUCAUGCCUUUUAAUUUCAGCACUUUGGGAGGCCGAGGCAGGCAGAUCACCUGAGGUCAGGAGUUCAAAACCAACCUGGUCAACAUGGGGAAACCCCAUCCCUACUAAAAAUACAAAAAAAUUAGCUGGGUGUGGUGUGAUCUCAGCUACUUGGGAAGCUGAGGCAGGAGAAUUGCUUGAACCUGGGAGGUGGAGGUUGCAGUGAGCCAAAAUUGUGCCAUUGCACUCCAGCCUGGGUGACAAGAGUGAGACUGUGUCUCAACAAACAAAUAAGAACAUGUUAAUCAUUUUAUGUUUCUGUUCUUGCCGUUCCUUAUUUUCUUUCUUCUCUUUUCUUCUCUGCUGCAGGUUCCAUGACGGUCAGGGCCAGCUCUGGGAGUCUCUCCCCUUCUGGCCUUUGUCCCUAGCACUGACCUCAGUGCCUGGACAUAGUAGCUGCCCAGUAGAUAUAGGAUGACUGACUGUCAACUGGAUGUCUCGAUACAGAAUCUCACUAUAUUGCCCAGGCUGCUCUCAAACUCCUGGGCUCAAAUGAUCCUUCCUACUUGGCCUUCUAAGUGCUGGGAUUACAGGCAUGAGCCGCCAUGCCUGGCCACGUCAAGCCUUUUGCGUGCAGUAGACGGCGGUUCUCAAAGGGCGGCCCUGGGACCUGCAGCGUUCAUGCUACCUAGGAGUUCUUAGUAACACAGGCUCUGCAUGAUACUUCUGAAGGUGGGGUCCGGCAGCCUGCGUCUGGGGGAGACCCAGAGGUGGUUCCUGUCCAGUUCAUUUCACCCUCCCCACUGUGAGGCAGAGUGCUGCGGCCUUCAUUUUAUAGGUGCAGAAACUGAGGCAGAAGGAGGCAAAGUGACUCGCUUGAGGACUGGAGCCCAGGUUGAUCUCAACCCAGAGCCCCAGUCUGGGACCCAGUAAGGAAACAAAUUCCAUUAUUGGCAAAGCACCUUUUGAUUUCUCAUCCUAGGGACGAUCAUGAGCACAGUCGUGAUGGUAAGGGGUAGGGAAUAGCCCGUUUCAGAGAUGAGCAAGCCAAGGGCCAGAGAGGCAUGAGGAACUGCUCAGCGGGGCAGGCCUAGAACCGGGCCUCCUAUCCCCACUCAGUGCAGCUGGGAGGGAGACCCAGGGCAAAAGGAGGGCAGGCCACCCACUUGGGGAGGCUACCUAAGUCAGGCACAGUGUACCUCGUCUGUAACCCACUGACUGUACUCAUUUUACAGAUGAGGACACUGAGGCAAGACAAACUGCCUCUCUGAGACCUUGCUGAAGGUCUCACAGAGGGCAAGGGCUGAAGCAGGGGUGUACCCCCAGGAGAUCUGGGCCGGAGGCUGCUGCUCACACCACUACCCUACAGCUUUGCUUGAGGAGGAGGCUGUGGCUGUCACUGCAGGGAAGCUCCUCCCUCCCAAUCAGAGACACCAUGUGAUGCUCCGGGUGUGCGCAAGCCCCCUAAGGUCCCAUACAGCCAAGGCUUUGCACACAUUGUUCCCUCCACCCGGAGUCCUCCCUUAUUUGUGUUAUGAGUCAAACGGUCCCUUAUCCUUCGACGGUCAGUUCAAGUGUUGGGUUUGCUCUGCAGCCUUCCAUGGUCCUCCCUGAAGCUGGGGAGGCU